CGACUAAGUGGCCGUCCUGGGAGUUAUAGUGCCACUAGCCGGCCUCGGCUGUUCCCUGUCCGAGGCUCUUGUCAUUUCCGCUUAUUUCCUCCACGGGUGCCGAUUUCAUGUGUGUGUUCCCGAGUGCCUGAGCCGGCUCCCGAAAUGAGUACUCGUGGUUUCCGCGUGGGAACCAACCUCGAGCGCCAGUGGCCCGCCCUCUCCGGGCUGAGGUGGCUGCUGAGGCUGGGGCUGCUCCUGAGGCUUCAGGGCCGCCCGCUGCACGGCUUUCUACCUUCCCAGGUUAGCCGCGGUCAACUUCUGCCAGGCGGAGCGAGAAAUCGCAUUUUGUCAGUUUUAACAAAACAGAAAUGUGUAAAAAUUUGUGUAAAAUCUUACGAUCGAGACCAAAUGGACAAGCUGGCUUUUUUUGAAGAAAGUAAUACGACUGAAUUACUAGCAUCAUUGGGGCUGCAGCAUGCUGAAAGAAAACAGAAGCCUGUGGAGUGAGCCAAGAUCAACCAGGAAAUAAACCCUUUCCCUUGCGAUGUCUCUCCAGCGCCCUCUACUGACAAACCUGCUUUAGUGCCAGUUUGUAGAGAUUAGUUGUCCAGUUCAGACAAACCAGAUCCCCUGUCAGAUUCCUCCAUAGAACUUCUUUACAAAACCACUUCUUGGCAUCAUAAUUGGUGGCAUUUUCCCCUUCGGCUGUAUUUUUAUUCAACUCUUUUUCAUUCUGAACAGUAUUUGGUCUCAUUAGCUGUACUACAUGUUUGGCUUCCUUUUCUUAGUCUUUAUAAUUCUUGUGAUUACUUGCUCAGAAGUUACAGUUUUGCUGUAUUAUUUUCAUUUAUGUGCUGAGGUAAAGCCAUAAGAAACUAAUGCAUUUGCUAUACUUGCAUUAUUGGAAUUGGAAGUCUGUGUUUAGAAAAGAAUUGAAAUAAAUGAUAACUGCAUGUU
rnacentral:lncRNA from 1 species